CCAAUAGCGUAUAUUAAAGUUGUUGCAGUUAAAAAGCUCGUAGUUGAAUUUCGGGAUUCGUCCAUUGGUCAGGCUUAACUGUCUGUACUGGUGUGUCGGAUUUCUACCUUCUGAAGAACCUUCAUGCCAUUAAUUUGGUGUGUUGGGGAAUCAGGACUGUUACUUUGAAAAAAUUAGAGUGUUUAAAGCAGGCUAACGUCUGAAUACAUUAGCAUGGAAUAAUGAAAUAGGACGGUACGGUUCUAUUUUGUUGGUUUCUAGGAUCGCCGUAAUGAUUAAUAGGGAUAGUUGGGGGCAUUAGUAUUCAAUUGUCAGAGGUGAAAUUCUUGGAUUUAUUGAAGACUAACUACUGCGAAAGCAUUUGCCAAGGAUGUUUUCAUUAAUCAAGAACGAAAGUUAGGGGAUCGAAGACGAUCAGAUACCGUCGUAGUCUUAACCAUAAACUAUGCCGACUAGGGAUUGGACGAUGUUAAUUUUUUAAUGACUCGUUCAGCACCUUAUG
rnacentral:rRNA from 1 species